rnacentral:rRNA from 1 species
GACGAACGCUGGCGGCGUGCUUAACACAUGCAAGUCGAACGGAAAGGCCCUUCGGGUUCCUCGAGUGGCGAACGGGUGCGUAACACGUGGGUGAUCUGCCCUGCACUUUGGGAUAAGCCUGGGAAACUGGGUCUAAUACCGAAAAGGCCCACGCGCUUCACGGUGUGUGGGGGAAAGCCUUUGCGGUGUGGGAUGGGCCCGCGGCCUAUCAGCUUGUUGGUGGGGUAAUGGCCUACCAAGGCGACGACGGGUAGCCGGCCUGAGAGGGUGACCGGCCACACUGGGCCUGAGAUACGGCCCAGACGCCUACGGGGGGCAGCAGUGGGGAAUAUUGCACAAUGGGCGCGCGCCUGAUGCAGCGACGCCGCGUGAGUGAUGACGGCCUUCGGGUUGUAAACCGCUUUCAGUAGGGACGAAGCGCAAGUGACGGUACCUAUAGAAGAAGCACCGGCCAACUACGUG